AGUACCGUGGACAAACUGUGUUGCACAACACAGAAUGGAGCCCUGAGCCCUGUGUGGAUUGUUACUGUGAUGAUGGGAAGGUGACUUGCUCUAAUGUUACCUGUUCAAAUGGACCGGUGUAAACCUGGAGAAACUAAGACAGAGUUUACCUGGCCAGUGUUGUCCCACCUGUGUACCUGAUGGAAAAUCUUGUGUAUGGAAUGGUGAGAACUAUCCAGAUGGAGGGGAGUGGGAACCUUUGCCAUGCACUAAGUGUGUGUGUCGUGACGGUCAGGCCGCCUGUUACCCUAUACAGUGUCCCCCUCUCAGGUGUACACAGG